UGUCAGCUGCAUUCUCUGCACAAAGAGUAUAUCCUGCUUCUGUUUUAAGUGUCCUAUGGGAAAUCUGAUACUGCUUGCAGAACAUGAUCGGUUAAUGCAUCCCCAACACUACUGAUAUCUUAGAAACUGUAAGCAAAACAAAAAAUAACCAUAAUGAUGCCUAGAUAAGAUGUGUGCAUGUAAAAUUCCAUUCUGCACCAAAAAGAUUGUACCAUUUUUUCCAAUUAUGUCCUUCUCAACUAAGGCUAAAUCAUAAUAUGAGCCGUUAGAAAUAUCUAAAAAAUUUGGGAGAGAAUUGAUAUCCUUCUAGUAGAAUAAGCCAUAUCCUCUUCAUUUGACACCAAGACAAAUUCUAGGCACCUAAAUUGGAAAAUUAACAUUAUGAAAUUUCAUAACUAUAGGAGAAAGAGGCUAGAUAACGUUCUUGACAUCUAAAGUGAAAGAAAAUCUUAAAUUAACAGAUUGCAGUUCCAAAAAUAAGAUAUGCUUGCUUUAGUAGUUUAGAGAGCCUUGUUUCAUGUUUCCCAUAAAUAAUACCGAGGAAAUAUACCAUUUUCAAUGCUCCAGUAUUAAAACUUAGAAAUUAAGGUAAAUUUUUAGUUUAAUCAAGUUAAAGUGCACAGUUGGGAAGACAAAACCAUAAUUUGCAAUUUUAUAGUACAUGAGAGUUCUUUGAGGGAGUCAACUACUUAUCAUAGCUAGAAUUAUUUCACUUGAAUCCUUUUUACUUUUAUGAGGCAAACAGAGUAGAACAACAUUGAAACAUGAUUAAUAAGAAAGUGCAAUACUUGCCUCUUUUUUUUACUGUUAUGAGGCAAACAAAGUAGAAAAAUAAAAUGCUUACACUAAGAUGCAGCACGGAGUUAUCCAUAUAGCAGUCAUGAAAAUUAAGAUAACUGAUAUAAUAUGUUAAUAAUGCAUUCUUGCUAUUCAUAGUGGCAGCCACAUAAGCAAGUAGGGUGAAAAAGAUAACCAAAUGAACAGCUCAGUUCAAGAUGCAUAUCUAUAUCGUACCUCUAGGUGAGCCUACAAUAGUGCUAUUAUCUCCACUCUAAUUAAAAAGGUAAAACAUAAAGCAAAAAAUAAACAAAAAAUACAAAUGCAAAUAUAGAAUAACAAAACAAUAAUAAUCAAAGUAUGAAUUUAAGAUAAAGACCAUGAAGCUAAUAGCUAUUUCAGUGCUAGCAACAGUUGUCAUAGUCAUACAUUGGUAUAUUCCUUGUCCCUUUUGUUUAGCUUCUAACAGCAUUUAUUUUAGUUAUAUAUUUUUUUACAAGUUAGCUUCUACUACUGUUACUCACGGCAUAUCACCAAAAUUCCCAAAAAUCUCAAAUGUCCAAUGUUCAAUCACUAAAUAAACUAUCAAAAAUUAAGGUCCCUUUGAAUGUGCAGAUACUAAUGAAUUACUGAUGAUUUUUUGUGUGCUCGCACAACUAUUUUCCUUUGACCCAUAUAUUCAUUCUUUUAGGCUUUUUUUAGAAUGAAAGAUUCAUCUGACAUGCAAAAUUUAUUUAACAAAGAAGAUCUUCAAUUAGUGAAGAUCCACAAAACAUAAAACAAACUAAAUGGAGCAGUUUUGCAUAAAGUUUAAAACAAAUCAAGCAAAAAUACAAGUGUGGAAUUCAACCAAAAAAUUAAAACAUACACAAAAUAAUACAACUCCAAUGAUCGUAAAAGAGAUGCAAAGAAAAUACAGAAGAGACUACUACACAAAAAAGUUAAGAAAAGCGACAAUGGAAAGAAGGCAACAUCACCAACCAGGUAAUGAAGAAGGAAAAAAGAAGAAGAAGAGAAAACUAAAAGAAAUAUAAAAUACGCAUAACAAAUAAAGGGGGAAAAAGAAGCAAAACUCCACUGCAACAAGCAACAAAAAAUGAAAAACAAAUUAAAAAGAGAGUAAAUACUAACCUGAACAUUGUGAGACCCAACAAAGAAGACAACGAAGAUGCUAGAGAUGGGGAACUGAAGUGAGGGAAAAUUCUAGAUGAAGAAGAAAAAUAAAGAAUUUGAGAGUUCGAUGAGUGGCCACGUCUAUUAUAAGUUAUGAAAAGUCAAAAAUGCCCUCAGAUGGUCGACCAUCUUCGCUUUUUUAUAUAAUAAUAAUAAUAAAUAAUAAUAAUAAAAAUAAAAGAAUACAAGGAAUAGGCUUUUUGUCCUCUUUUUU
rnacentral:lncRNA from 1 species